rnacentral:lncRNA from 1 species
GAGAAUCUUUGUCAAAUUGUCUAGCUUUUGAGUCAGAAGAUGAUUCUGAGCUAGCAUAGCUGUGGGCAAGUGCAAAACUCCUCUCUUCUGAAUAGGUGCGCCCCUUUCACUGUAAGUUUCCUGCUCAUUAGCAGCCAUACUCUCAAUCAAGUCAUAGGCUUCAUCUUCAGUCUUCCUUUUGAUAUCACCUCCAGCUAAGGCGUCAAGCAUCACCUUAGACUGCAUGUUCAGACCACCUAAGUAAGCAAGAACUAUAGUAGUCUUGUCAAAACCAUGGACUAGUGUCUUCCUCAAUAAGCCCUUGAAUCUUUCCCAGGCUUGACCAAGAGUCUCCU